AAAACCUUCCUCUUAGGGUUCAUAGGUUGCAUUCUCGAACCCACUUGAUCGCCUAAUUGAAGUUUCAUCUGGCCGCAUCCGCUGAUUAAAUCCCGUCCUCCUCUCUCCUCCCACCUGCAGAUUGGGAGUCAGACCAGUCCAACGGAACCGAUGUUGUCUCAACCGCGAUGUUUUUGCCAGUACUCUCUGCAGCUUACAGGCACAACCAAACUGUCAUCAUCUUGAAUGAGUCUUCGGAUAAGCGCUACCCAAUGCUGCAGACAGCCAUUCACAUCUGUUCUCAUGGCUUCUUUCUCUUCUUGUUCUUAGCACAAAGGCGACUGAGACUCGAGUCCUGGACUAAGUGAGGACCAAAAUCAGGUGACACACCUGGCCGAAUGCAGACCUCAUACUUCAAUAGGAUAUUUUGUUACAUAAAAAUGUUCUCUUUGUUUUAGAUCAAUUUGCAAUGUGGCAUCAUUCAUCAUGCCCUCCAUGAUACGUUACAUAUCGCAUGCCAGUGAUGUUCUUUGUUUUGUCGGACUUGCCAGAUGAAUGCCAAUUAUUUUUCAUAAAUGAAGAGAAGUUAUUAGUUAGUUGAUAGAAUAAACAC